CUUUUCAGGAAUUAAUUCUGCUGUUAGAGAAGUACCUAUGUCUUCAGAGAAUGUAAAGAAAGAUUAAUGAUUCACCCGAAGUUCGACAUUAUGUAUAACUCAGAACUCUUCACAGCAACUUUCAAAUAAGAUUAUCAGAACUUCUUGCAUGGAUUGGCACAGGACUCUGGGAUAAAUUAUCCUGGUCAUAAGACCCUCAUUUCAGAAGAGGUCCUGCCCAUACCUGGAAGGGAUGCUACACAGUGAGACCAAGAAGACUGAACAGAGAGGCCUUUCUGGGUUUCCCCUCUGAGUCUAUUAGCAUCAGCUGUAUCCCUUUUGUUCCAUCACAUUUCUACAUGGUUGCUCAGUCUUCAAUCGUGCCCAUUCAGUGAAAUCUCCAUAAGACGCCCAAAGAGGAUGGGGUACAGAGAGCUUGGACAGCUGAACACAAAGAGACUUACAGGAAAGUGAACAAGACUCAUCUACAGUAGGGUGGGAGCACCCUAACUCCAUGCGAAUGGAAGCUCCUGCACUUGGUACCUUUUCAAACCUCGCACUAUGAAUUUCUUUAUCUGGCUUUUUAUUUAUAUCCUUUAAAAUAUCUUUUAUAAUAAAUGGAUAAAUGUGUUUCCCUGAGUUUUGUGAGCUGCUCUAGCAAAUUGACUACGCUUAAAGAGGGGGUUGUGGGAACCCCAACCGGAAGCUGGUAGAUCAGAAGUUCAGAGGCCUGGACUUGCGACUGGUGUCUGACGCGGGGCAGUCUUGUGGGAACUGACACUAUCUCCUGGAAGAUGACAUAAGAAUUGAAUUGGAUUAGAAGACGCCCAGC
rnacentral:lncRNA from 10 species